rnacentral:rRNA from 1 species
CCUACGGGUGGCAGCAGUAGGGAAUCUUCCGCAAUGGACGAAAGUCUGACGGAGCAACGCCGCGUGAGUGAUGAAGGUUUUCGGAUCGUAAAACUCUGUUGUUAGGGAAGAACAAGUGCCGUUCGAACAGGGCGGUACCGUGACGGUACCUAACCAGAAAGCCACGGCUAACUACGUGCCAGCAGCCGCGGUAAUACGUAGGUGGCAAGCGUUAUCCGGAAUUAUUGGGCGUAAAGCGCUCGCAGGCGGUUUCUUAAGUCUGAUGUGAAAGCCCACGGCUCAACCGUGGAGGGUCAUUGGAAACUGGGAGACUUGAGUGCAGAAGAGGAGAGUGGAAUUCCACGUGUAGCGGUGAAAUGCGUAGAGAUGUGGAGGAACACCAGUGGCGAAGGCGACUCUCUGGUCUGUAACUGACGCUGAGGAGCGAAAGCGUGGGGAG